CCUACGGGUGGCUGCAGUGGGGAAUAUUGGACAAUGGGGGGAACCCUGAUCCAGCCAUGCCGCGUGUGUGAAGAAGGCCCUCGGGUUGUAAAGCACUUUCAGUGAGGAAGAACGCCUGGUGGUUAAUACCCAUCAGGAAAGACAUCACUCACAGACGAAGCACCGGCUAACUCCGUGCCAGCAGCCGCGGUAAUACGGAGGGUGCGAGCGUUAAUCGGAAUUACUGGGCGUAAAGCGCGCGUAGGUGGCUUGAUAAGCCGGUUGUGAAAGCCCCGGGCUCAACCUGGGAACGGCAUCCGGAACUGUCAAGCUAGAGUGCAGGAGAGGAAGGUAGAAUUCCCGGUGUAGCGGUGAAAUGCGUAGAGAUCGGGAGGAAUACCAGUGGCGAAGGCGGCCUUCUGGACUGACACUGACACUGAGGUGCGAAAGCGUGGGUAGCAAACAGGAUUAGAUACCCGGGUAGUC
rnacentral:rRNA from 1 species